UCAAACCCCCUCGGGCCGCAUCUCCACAGCGGGAAGCGGCCCGGCGUUGGAGCGACGCGGGACCCCUGAUGAAGGACCCGCGCGCCCCCAAAUCGAGUGGCGGACGCCCCCGAGCCUCCCAGCGCAGUAGCUUCGGUCUCGCUGACGGUGGACGGGAGUGGCCCUUGCCUCCAUAAAAUCACCUUGAGUUUGACC
rnacentral:rRNA from 1 species